rnacentral:rRNA from 1 species
CCCUUUGGGACACCACCGGCGGACGGCUCAGUAACACGUCGGUAACCUACCCUCGGGAGGGGGAUAACCCCGGGAAACUGGGGCUAAUCCCCCAUAGGCCUGAGGUACUGGAAGGUCCUCAGGCCGAAAGGGACUCUGUCCGCCCGAGGAUGGGCCGGCGGCCGAUUAGGUAGUUGGUGGGGUAAUGGCCCACCAAGCCGAAGAUCGGUACGGGCUGUGAGAGCAGGAGCCCGGAGAUGGACACUGAGACACGGGUCCAGGCCCUACGGGGCGCAGCAGGCGCGAAACCUCCGCAAUGCGGGAAACCGCGACGGGGGGACCCCGAGUGCCGUGGCAACGCCACGGCUUUUCCGGAGUGUAAAAAGCUCCGGGAAUAAGGGCUGGGCAAGGCCGGUGGCAGCCGCCGCGGUAAUACCGGCGGCCCGAGUGGUGGCCGCUAUUAUUGGGCCUAAAGCGUCCGUAGCCGGGCCCGUAAGUCCCUGGCGAAAUCCCACGGCUCAACCGUGGGGCUUGCUGGGGAUACUGCGGGUCUUGGGACCGGGAGAGGCGGGGGGUACCCCUGGGGUAGGGGUGAAAUCCUAUAAUCCCAGGGGGACCGCCAGUGGCGAAGGCGCCCCGCUGGAACGGGUCCGACGGUGAGGGACGAAGGCCAGGGGAGCAAACCGGAUUAGAUACCCGGGUAGUCCUGGCUGUAAAGGAUGCGGGCUAGGUGUCGGGUGAGCUUCGAGCUCGCCCGGUGCCGUAGGGAAGCCGUUAAGCCCGCCGCCUGGGGAGUACGGCCGCAAGGCUGAAACUUAAAGGAAUUGGCGGGGGAGCACUACAAGGGGUGGAGCGUGCGGUUUAAUUGGAUUCAACGCCGGGAACCUCACCGGGGGCGACGGCAGGAUGAAGGCCAGGCUGAAGGUCUUGCCGGACACGCCGAGAGGAGGUGCAUGGCCGCCGUCAGCUCGUACCGUGAGGCGUCCACUUAAGUGUGGUAACGAGCGAGACCCGUGCCCCCAGUUGCCAGCCCUUCCCGCUCGGGAAGGGGGCACUCUGGGGGGACUGCCGGCGAUAAGCCGGAGGAAGGAGCGGGCGACGGUAGGUCAGUAUGCCCCGAAACCCCCGGGCUACACGCGCGCUACAAUGGGCGGGACAAUGGGAUCCGACCCCGAAAGGGGAAGGAAAUCCCCUAAACCCGCCCCCAGUUCGGAUCGCGGGCUGCAACUCGCCCGCGUGAAGCUGGAAUCCCUAGUACCCGCGUGUCAUCAUCGCGCGGCGAAUACGUCCCUGCUCCUUGCACACACCGCCCGUCACUCCACCCGAGCGGGGUCUGGAUGAGGCUCCGUCCUCUGGGCGGGGUC